GGGGACGGGUGGGCGGACCUUCAUCAAAUAAGAGUGUCUGCACGACUUGCAAAGAGGGCGGGCUCUUGAAACUCCAGGUCAAUUCAGUUGGGCAGGGGUGACCCUGGAAAAUUCACUCAUUUCCUCCUCCUGUACACAAGAGAUGAGCACCUGGAAAUCAUAUGACACAGGAGCCAAUCUACCAUGAUAGGAAGAACUGAACUCAAAUAAAUCAAGGCCCAGCUGAUGGGCAGCAAAUUGAAAAGUUACCGGCUUCAGGAUCUAAUUUGAAAAGACAAGACAACUUUCAGAUCUGUAUUUCCAGUUGGCAUCUCUUUCCUAACCCUCAGACACGUUUACCCAGU